AGCGAACGCUGGCGGCAGGCUUAACACAUGCAAGUCGAGCGGGCAUAGCAAUAUGUCAGCGGCAGACGGGUGAGUAACGCGUGGGAACGUACCUUUUGGUUCGGAACAACACAGGGAAACUUGUGCUAAUACCGGAUAAGCCCUUACGGGGAAAGAUUUAUCGCCGAAAGAUCGGCCCGCGUCUGAUUAGCUAGUUGGUGAGGUAAUGGCUCACCAAGGGGACGAUCAGUAGCUGGUCUGAGAGGAUGAUCCGCCACAUUGGGACUGAGACACGGCCCGAACUACUACGGGAGGCAGCAGUGGGGAAUAUUGGACAAUGGGCGCAAGCCUGAUCCAGCCAUGCCGGGUGAGUGAUGAAGGCCCUAGGGUUGUAAAGCUCUUUUGUGCGGGAAGAUAAUGACGGUACCGCAAGGAUAAGCCCCGGCUAACUUCGUGCCAGCCGCCGCCGUAA
rnacentral:rRNA from 1 species